ensembl:lncRNA
GGGAGAACUUUGUGUUGUAAGGUAAUUUUGUUACCUUAAACGUUUUCUUAACUUUUAUGUCUCUUAGCCGCUCUUCUGCUUCUCCAUCCUUUUUAUAUCUCCUAGCUACAUCUGGUAGUUCUUCUGACCUAUCUUCUAAGUCUCACGGUGUCUCUUCAGCUGGGUCUAAUCUGCAGUUAAAUCCAUCUGUUGCAUUCUUAAUUUCAGUUACUGAAUUUCAGUUCUAGAAUUUUUAGCUCUUUUUCAGAUCUUUAAUGUUACUUUAUAUAGUCCUGGUUCCUUGUUCUGAAAAUUUUAAGCCCAAUUUCUAUCACCAUGAGCACAGUUAUGUACUGUAUCAUUGUCUUACAUUCUGUGUCUGGUAAUUUUUCCAUCUGGGAUAUGUCUGUUUCUUCUGUUUGGUGUUUGUCCUAAUUCUCAUGUUGGUUUGUAUUUAUGUCAUUGUAUCUCCUCGUGUGCCUUGUUAUCUUUGAAUGUGUGUUAGAUGUGGUUUUGAAAAAAAAUAUUUGUAUAAAUACCAUAUUUCAUCAAUUAAGUGCAUUUUUUUUCACAUUUUAAUCUCUGAAAUUCAGAUGUAAUUUACAGUUGAUCGACAUGUAUGUUUACAGUUGGUAGCAUUUUCCCCUUUUUCAUUGGCUCAUACCUAAAAAAAAAUAGAGCAUCAUAUAAUUAGCAGUACUGAAGGUUGAUGAAAUGAAGUAAUCUGAGGCUUUGAAUGAUACUAAACAUGACAAGAGUUCUAGAGAGCCUUUUAAACAACCUCUGCCGGCUUUCCGGGUAUCAGCAAUCCCAGAUCAAUUUGGGCACUUGAGAUUUUCUAGGGCAUUCAGAUGACUGGAAGUUUACUUUUUGUUUUCUCUUACUUGUAGGGCUUAGUCACGCCCAACCACAGGCUUGUCAGGCUUUAACCUUGCGGAUGCUCUGGGUCCCUGACCCUGUGAGGCUGUGAAGGUGAUGCUCAGCUUUCCAGUUCUCUCUUCCUGCUUCACAGAUUCUCCCCAACUCGAGAGCUGCACACUGCCUUCAGAACGUGUCUGUGAUGGUGUGCGUGAGAGCUACGUCGCUUCAGUUGUGUCCAACUCUUGGCGGCCCUAUGGACUGUAGCCCGCCAGUCUCCUCUGUCCGUGGGAUUCUCCAGGCAAAAAUACCGGAGUGGGUUGCCCUGCCCUCCUCCAGGGGAUCUUCCUGACCCAGGGAUCGAACCCGCAUCUCUUCUGUCUCCAGCAUUGGCAGGACCCACAGUGGCUCUGGCAGCAGGCGGAGAGGGAAGAAAGACCCUUGCUUCCAGAAAAGCGCUGGUUUCGAGCAGUGGAGGAGAUAGAUGGAAGUAACCAGAGGGAUGGAUCAGGUUGGCAGCUCAGACGCUCCCAGGAGGAGGACCGCUCUGGGGACUGGCACCUCUGAACAAUGGCUCUCAGUCCUGUAUUUCCUGUAUUUCUGUCAGUCAUCUCCCAGGCACGCUGUCCUCUUUCCUUGCUCAGCCAUGUUCUUGUCUUUCUCUGAAGCAAUUAAAAAAAAAUUAUAUUCUGAAACAGUCUUGAGAAAUUGUGUUACUCCCCUUGCUGGCCUGACAAAGCUAUCAAGCUCUGACUGCCAUCUUUGAUGGUUUGGCAGAUAAUUUUCCAAUCUGGUGUUACAAAGGCCUAGCUCUAUUUGAUCAAGUAAUAAGAAGCCAUGUAAUGAGUUCUUAUAACUUCUGA